CUAAUCUCAAGUCAGGAAGGAAGUGUGGUUCUCCAGCGUGCCUGGGAGAACGGUAGAACUGGAAGUAUUGAUGAGCAGUAGUAAUAUCCCCUGUGUGGGUCAGCGAAUGACCUGGAAUCGCAAGUACAAGUUAUAAUAAUUAUAAACUCUUGAGAAAAAUUCACAACAAACAUUUGAAGGCUGGAACUGGAGAAGAAAUUGGAUGCUGCACUGGGUGAAAUCAUGGUAGAUGGAAACUCAGAUCGAUAAGAAGGAACAAAGAACACAGGAAAUGGAAAUAAUGUGGGUUGAAUAGCCUGGGAGAUUUCAGGAGGUUGGGAGUGGCAGUAUUCGUAUCCAGGUUGACGCACACAUUGAAUUAGAAAGCAGUUUUGCACCAGAUCCAGCCCUACUUCCUCCACUUGAUGUAAUCCUGUCCUAUGCGU